AUUGAACGCUGGCGGCAUGCUUUACACAUGCAAGUCGAACGGUAACAGGCCGCAAGGUGCUGACGAGUGGCGAACGGGUGAGUAAUGCAUCGGAACGUGCCCAGUCGUGGGGGAUAACGCAGCGAAAGAUGUGAUAAUACCGCAUACGAUCUAUGGAUGAAAGCGGGGGACCGUAAGGACUCGCGAGAUUGGAGCGGCCGAUGGCAGAUUAGGUAGUUGGUGGGGUAAAGGCCAGCCAAGGCAUCGAUCUGUAGCUGGUCUGAGAGGACGACCAGCCACACUGGGACUGAGACACGGCCCAGACUCCUACAGGAGGCAGCAGUGGGGAAUUUUGGACAAUGGGCGCAAGCCUGAUCCAGCAAUGCCGCGUGCAGGAAGAAGGCCUUCGGGUUGUAAACUGCUUUUGUACGGAACGAAACGGUCUGGGUUAAUACCCUGGGCUAAUGACGGUACCGUAAGAAUAAGCACCGGCUAACUACGUGCCAGCAGCCGCCGUAAAAC
rnacentral:rRNA from 1 species